GGAGGUGUAAGUUAAAAAAACUUUAUGAUUCAUGUUCAUACUAUAUGUAUAUUUACAUCGCCUCUU
rnacentral:tRNA from 1 species